rnacentral:rRNA from 1 species
UCGAACGAGAAAUCCCGAGCUUGCUUGGGAGAGUAAAGUGGCGCACGGGUGAGUAACGCGUGGGUAACCUACCUUUGAAUCUGGAAUAACCAGCCGAAAGGCUGACUAAUACCGGAUACGGUUUUUUAGGCUUAGGUCUUUUAAAUUAAAGGUGACCUCUUCAUGAAAGUUGCCGUUCAUAGAUGGGCCCGCGUACCAUUAGCUUGUUGGUGGGGUAAUGGCCUACCAAGGCGACGAUGGUUAGCUGGUCUGAGAGGAUGAUCAGCCACACUGGAACUGGAACACGGUCCAGACUCCUACGGGAGGCAGCAGUGAGGAAUUUUGCGCAAUGGGGGAAACCCUGACGCAGCAACGCCGCGUGAGCGAAGAAGGCCCUCGGGUCGUAAAGCUCUGUCAAGUGGGAAAAAAAUCUUUUGAUCAAUAGUCAAAAGACUUGAUGGUACCACUGGAGGAAGCACCGGCUAACUCCGUGCCAGCAGCCGCGGUAAUACGGAGGGUGCAAGCGUUGUUCGGAAUU